GAUGAACGCUGGCGGCGUGCCUAAUACAUGCAAGUCGAGCGAACAGACGAGGAGCUUGCUCCUUUGACGUUAGCGGCGGACGGGUGAGUAACACGUGGGUAACCUACCUAUAAGACUGGGAUAACUUCGGGAAACCGGAGCUAAUACCGGAUAAUAUUUCGAACCGCAUGGUUCGAUAGUGAAAGAUGGCUUUGCUAUCACUUAUAGAUGGACCUGCGCCGUAUUAGCUAGUUGGUAAGGUAACGGCUUACCAAGGCAACGAUACGUAGCCGACCUGAGAGGGUGAUCGGCCACACUGGAACUGAGACACGGUCCAGACUCCUACGGGAGGCAGCAGUAGGGAAUCUUCCGCAAUGGGCGAAAGCCUGACGGAGCAACGCCGCGUGAGUGAUGAAGGUCUUCGGAUCGUAAAACUCUGUUAUUAGGGAAGAACAAACGUGUAAGUAACUGUGCACGUCUUGACGGUACCUAAUCAGAAAGCCACGGCUAACUACGUGCCAGCAGCCGCGGUAAUACGUAGGUGGCAAGCGUUAUCCGGAAUUAUUGGGCGUAAAGCGCGCGUAGGCGGUUUUUUAAGUCUGAUGUGAAAGCCCACGGCUCAACCGUGGAGGGUCAUUGGAAACUGGAAAACUUGAGUGCAGAAGAGGAAAGUGGAAUUCCAUGUGUAGCGGUGAAAUGCGCAGAGAUAUGGAGGAACACCAGUGGCGAAGGCGACUUUCUGGUCUGUAACUGACGCUGAUGUGCGAAAGCGUGGGGAUCAAACAGGAUUAGAUACCCUGGUAGUCCACGCCGUAAACGAUGAGUGCUAAGUGUUAGGGGGUUUCCGCCCCUUAGUGCUGCAGCUAACGCAUUAAGCACUCCGCCUGGGGAGUACGACCGCAAGGUUGGAACUCAAAGGAAUUGACGGGGACCCGCACAAGCGGUGGAGCAUGUGGUUUAAUUCGAAGCAACGCGAAGAACCUUACCAAAUCUUGACAUCCUUUGACCCUUCUAGAGAUAGAAGUUUCCCCUUCGGGGGACAAAGUGACAGGUGGUGCAUGGUUGUCGUCAGCUUGUGUCGUGAGAUGUUGGGUUAAGUCCCGCAACGAGCGCAACCCUUAAGCUUAGUUGCCAUCAUUAAGUUGGGCACUCUAAGUUGACUGCCGGUGACAAACCGGAGGAAGGUGGGGAUGACGUCAAAUCAUCAUGCCCCUUAUGAUUUGGGCUACACACGUGCUACAAUGGACAAUACAAAGGGCAGCGAAACCGCGAGGUCAAGCAAAUCCCAUAAAGUUGUUCUCAGUUCGGAUUGUAGUCUGCAACUCGACUACAUGAAGCUGGAAUCGCUAGUAAUCGUAGAUCAGCAUGCUACGGUGAAUACGUUCCCGGGUCU
rnacentral:rRNA from 1 species